AUUGAACGCUGGCGGCAGGCCUAACACAUGCAAGUCGAACGGUAAAAGGAAGAAGCUUGCUUCUUUGCUGAAGAGUGGAGGGCGGGAGUGUAAUGUCUGGGAAACUGCCUGAAGGAGGGGGUUAACUACUGGAAACGGUAGCUAAUACCGCAUCACGUCGCAAGACCAAAGUGGGGGACCUUAGGGACUCUUGCCUCCGGAUGUGCCCAGAGGGGAUCAGCUAGUAGGUGGGGUAACGGCUCACCAAGGCGACGAUCCCUAGCCGGUCUGAGAGGAUGACCGGCCGCACGGGAACGGAGCCACGGUCCAGACUCCUACGGGAGGCAGCAGUGGGGAAUAGUGCGCAAUGGGCGCAAGCCUGAUGCAGCCAUGCCGCGUGUAUUAAGAAGGCCUUCGGGUUGUAAAGUACUUUCAGCGGGGAGGAAGGGAUUUAAGUUAAUACCUUGGCUCAUUGACGUUACCCGCAGAAGAAGCACCGGCUAACUCCGUG
rnacentral:rRNA from 1 species